AGUCACUGACAUUAGAUACCCCCCGUAGUCCCAGCCGUAAACAAUGUGCGUUAGGUGUGUCGGUAACCACGUGUUACUGAUGCGCCGAAGAGAAAUCGUGAAACGCACCACCUGGGAAGUACGGUCGCAAGGCUGAAACUUAAAGGAAUUGGCGGGGAGCACCACAACAGGUGGAGCCUGCGGUUUAAUUGGAUUCAACGCCGGACAUCUCACCGGAUAAGACAGCUGAAUGAUUGUCAAUCUGAAGGUUUUACAUGACUAGCUG
rnacentral:rRNA from 1 species